CGCCGCCGGGCGGCGGGCCGGCGGGGGCGUCGGGGCCGCCGCAGCGGGCGCCGGCCAGCGCGAGCACCGCCAGCACCAGGCCGGCGGCGGCGA
rnacentral:tRNA from 1 species